AUUGAACGCUGGCGGCGUGCUUAACACAUGCAAGUCGAACGAGAACGGGUUAUAGCUUGCUAUAAUUGUCAGCUAAGUGGCGCACGGGUGAGUAAUGUAUAGGUAAUAUGCCUCUUACUAAGGGAUAACAAAUGGAAACGUUUGCUAAUACCUUAUACUCCUUAUUAACAGAAGUUAAUAAGGGAAAGAUUUAUUGGUAAGAGAUUAGCCUGUAUUGUAUCAGUUAGUUGGUGGGGUAAUGGCUUACCAAGACUAUGACACAUAACUGGUUUGAGAGGAUGAUCAGUCACACUGGAACUGAGACACGGUCCAGACUCCUACGGGAGGCAGCAGUGGGGAAUAAUGCACAAUGGACGAAAGUCUGAUGCAGCAACGCCGCGUGGAGGAUGACACAUUUCGGUGCGUAAACUCCUUUUAUAUGAGAAGAUAAUGACGGUAUUAUAUGAAUAAGCACCGGCUAACUCCGUGCCAGCCGCCGCCGUAAAAC
rnacentral:rRNA from 1 species